rfam:Clostridium paraputrificum strain 373-A1 CP373A1_34, whole genome shotgun sequence.
CCGUGCUAGAUGGGGAGUUAGCGGUGCCUUGUAACCUGCAAUCCGCUAUAGCAGGAUUGAAUUCUCUAGGGAGGCUAUAAUGAGUAUGGUCUGCCCUAUGUAAGUGGUGUUGAUAGUCGGGUCCCACGCAAUGGAACCCAUGAACCUCGUCAGGUCCGGAAGGAAGCAGCGAUAAGUGGUCACUUUCGUGUGCCGUGGAUUAAUCUGGCUUGAGCUAACUGCAUAGGUAACGCGUAUGAUUUAUAAUCGAACUAGGGUGCACGG